GACAGAGGGUGCAAACGUUGUUCGGAAUUACUGGGCGUAAAGCGUGUGUAGGCUGCUACAUAAGUCGGAUGUGAAAGCCCCGGGCUCAACCCGGGAAGUGCACUCGAUACUGCGUAGCUUGAGUCUCGGAGAGGUUGGUGGAAUUCUCGGUGUAGAGGUGAAAUUCGUAGAUAUCGAGAGGAACACCGAUGGCGAAGGCGGCCAACUGGACGAAGACUGACGCUGAGACACGAAAGCGUGGGGAGCAAACAGG
rnacentral:rRNA from 1 species